rnacentral:sRNA from 1 species
UCACUUCCGCCAUUUUGACGGGCCGCG